AAAGUCGUAACAAGGUAACCGUAGGUGAACCUGCGGUUGGAUCAUUAAAAAGUACCGGCCUUCGAGCCAAUGCGAAAGCACACAUCAUGUGAACCGAACCGUCUCUGGCGGGGGGGUAGUAAGUAAAAAUUACUACUCGCCAGCAAAUGUGUCUGCAUUUGCCGUGGGCAUCCCGCCAACAGGUCUUACACCUUUGUUUUCUUUUGAUGUCUGACAUAACAUGUAUAAAUAUACAAAACAACUUUUGGCAACGGAUCUCUUGGCUCUC
rnacentral:misc_RNA from 1 species